rnacentral:pre_miRNA from 1 species
AGGCCCCUCCUUCCAAGCCCCAGCUCCGGCUCACCCCUGCCACGUCAAAGGAGGCAGAAGGGGAGUUGGGAGCAGAGCGGGGACCA